AAGGCUCUCCUUUUUCCUUUUCUUCUUUCUCUCUCUCGUUCUCCCUCGCAUCCGAAACGAACAAAAACAGAGCGGCAGCUCUUCCAUCAAUAGCUCCUCCCUUAGGCCACCAAACGACGUCGAACCACUUCCAUUUGCUUCGUCUCAGCCUUGCGCAGCUGCCAGAGGUAGCCUUGCACCGUGACACGGCCACCAGCGGCGGCGGGAAGCUCCGCCCGGUUUGAGCUCGUUUUGGAACCAAGCUUGAUAUCUCAAGCUACCGGUCACCAAUCCUCACCAAAUUUUAUCCACGAACUCGCCUCAACCUCCUGAAGCCCUCAGAAGUGUCCUUGCACAGCGGCGCUACUCGUGGUGGCGGCUGGGAGCCAGACCCGAUCAAAAUCUAAACCGAAGUAUUAAUCUUGAUAUUUCUAGCUUUGGACCAUCGUUUUGGGUGAUUCUUGAACUGGUGAACUCAUCUUGAAGUUCUGAACAACUCUUCAGAAGGAAUCGAAGCCUUAAAUUGAAGUUUUGACGUCGAAAUCGAGCCUUGCCGGAUUCUGCAAAAUCCUGGAAUUUUUCCGACCACCGAAGCUUUCGAUCGAAGGAAUCGAAUCCUUAAAUUGAAGUUUUUACGUCUAAUUGGAGCUCGCCGUUUUCUGCAGUUUGUCGCCGGAUUCUGGAAAUUUUCCGGCCACCUCGACUGUUCUAGGUGAUUGACGAAUCGAGCUGGUGGACGAUUCAGAUUGAUAUUUGGCUUUUAGAAGACGCAGCGGGAAUUUGAGGUGAGUAAACCUCACGUGGUUCAUA